GCAUGGAGGUUCCUUUUUCCUCACAACUUCGCCAACAUUUGUUACUAUUUGACUUCUUGAUGACGACCAUUUUUUAUGGAGCAAGAUAUAAUCUCAGUGGAACAUUUUUUUCAUGAUUGCGAACCUUCCUCAGGGUGCAGCUCUGAAUAUCGCCACACGAGGGCGGUGCUGCACCGCGCCAGGGAAGGGCUUGUUUCCACUCAGGCUGUGAGGAUCACAGUCCUCCACAUUCAGAGCUCACGCAGGAGAGAACGCCGUGUUGUCAUUUCUGGCUGAUGGUUUGGGGACCCGGUGAGCAGGUACAGCAUUGGAAAUACGCGUCUGCAAAGCCCAGGUCACAGGGCCCAGACAGAGGGCAGGGCAGGGCAGACCCUAGGCACAGGGCGCGGUGGGGGAGCUGGGGUCUCUUCUCCCCACCCCCUCCAGGAAGCCAGGAGGCAGAGCAGAGGCUCCGCCUCUGUCUGCUGCUCCAGCCCCGCCUCUCCUGCCUCCUCCUGGCCCUCCCCGGAAGUCUCACCCAGGUCCAAGGUCUCCAGUCUGUCAGACAGGCCUGGAGACGCUGUUUGCCAGCACACAGGCCUGAGAAGAGGAAUAAAUGGUCACAGGUGGCUGCACGAAGGUACAGGUCGUGAGAUUGUGCAGAGCUCGGCACGGGCACAGCAUACACAGAUACUGAAGUGGUGGCGGAAUCAGCUCUGUGGUGGGUUCCCCCGGUGAUUUCCUGAUUCUCGGGACUGUGUAACUAUGGCUAUAUGAGGUGGUGCCAAUGUAGCCAGGCCUGGUGGUGCAGGCCUGUCAUCCCAAGCAGGCUGGGAGGCUGAGGCAGGAGGGUUGCAAGUUGGAGCCCAAACCUUGGCAACUUAGUGAGAACCUGGCUCAAAAUAAAAAAGGGUUAGAAAUGUAGCUCGGGGUAAAGGCCAUGGUCUGAGGAUCAAUACAGCCCCUCCCCAAAAGAUCAGAAGGUCGAGUAUUCUUGUUUAUGAGAACAAAAGGGCAGUUGUGGUGGGAGCCUCUUCAGGUGACGCCAAGAAUCUUGGUUCUCAUCGUUGACACCAUGGGAUAAAGGUGGUGUGGCUUGGAAGAUCCUCUAAACGUAUUUGGAAUUCUUAACCUGUGUAGUGUGGGCAGAGCCGGUUGCUUUGUGAACACUAGGGCUGUUAGCCCUGGAGGGUUGCAGAGAACCAGAGACCUGCACCUGGGUCAGUGGCAUUGGGUGACAUCCGGCAGUUGUCAGUGACAUGGAGUAGGGAUGGGGGAG